GUCUUUCGGUGUUCUUCCAAAAACAAAACUCAACCAAACCAAGUGAACACCUGUGGGCUUAUUCUGGCCGCAUACAGGGGCUGUAAAGGCACCACAUGGGGCUGCUUAAAGAGAUCUUCUGUGGCACAGAAUCAGCAUAAGGCCAUCACAGCGAAUCCUCUAUCCCCCUCACAAGCCACAGCAUAGAGGAUGUGCCAGAGGAAGAAGAGCAUACACUUACUGGAGGAUGGACCAAACACUUGGUAUUACCAUGACUGCAGUAUAGCCCCAAUAAGAUUCUGACCUUCUGUGCCGCCCACUCACCCGGAGCAGCCUCUGAAAGCAUGCAUAUUCUUGACCUCCAAUUCUCCCUCUUCAGAAAACCACCUCAUCACCAACUAUGAAGACUCAUGACUCACUGUGGUAUCAUACUAAGUAUUCUGUAUUGUACUAGCCUGAGCCCUUCAGGCACCUAUAACUGGUUUGGCAUAGCUAUCGAACUGUCCAGCAUGGUUUAACGCUACACCCAGAUAUAAAUAAAAUAAUGACUCUUUUCAGCUGUUAAACUUGUGCUCAAGAAACAGUACAUUUGCCCCAAUUUUAUCAUUAUUAGAAGAGCUUUAUCUGAGUUAUAGUUGUUCUCCCAAGCAAAAAGACAGCAAAAACAAGACACGAUUUCCCCUGCUCCUCCGACAUUUGUACAUUUCUUCUUUCAUCUUCUAUUCUAUGUUCCAAAUUCACCUUUUGGCAUAAGCUGGCACCACUUUGUCACUAAUUUUUUUUUCCAUUUUCUUCUGCAUUAUCUAUUUUGGAAUUACUAAAUUUUUUUGUACAACAAAGACAAUCCAGCCCCAUGAAGAGAUUUCUCCUAGCUUGAUUUAAACAGAAUAACAGACUUAAAUACAAAAUGUAGCCUUGAAAUUCACUAGUUAAAAAGAUUUAACCUAUGCUAAUGAAAUCAGAAAAAUGCCUCAGUAAAAGUUCUAAUGAUAAUACUGUGUAUUUAGUUUCAAGAUACUCUAAACUUUAGAAUAAGAUAAUGUGGCACUUUAAUUAUAGUUUCUCUAUUUAUAUAUUUCCUUCAUGGUGCAAAUCACCUUUAAUGAGAGAGCAGGUUUUGGAGAAGUUUCAGCAUCAGUAUUAUUGCAAAUUUUUGAAUGUACAGAAGCUUAUCAGCUAAGAUAUGUUAAUUUUUCUAAUGGGGUAAUGAAGUCUGAAGGCUUUCGGGAAGAUGCUACUAUGAUAAUGGGUCUGUUUAAAACAGCAUUAGGAGAACCUUGAUUAUAGGUUGCUCAGUAGCUUCUGACUUCCAAAGGAACCAGAGUUUGUUCCAUAACUAAUUUGUUGCAAGAGCUCAUAGGAAGCUCAUUUCCAUACAUUUAGUCAUCAAGCAGUCACCCUACUAACAAAGAUAAAGGGCCAGUUUCUAAUUUGAAAAAUGGACUAGUGAGUUUUUAGGAACUAGACAGUGUCUGCUCUGAAAUGCAAGCACAGAGGCAGAUUUUUCAAAUCACGAAGCCAUGCACACCUCCAGUUGGAAGGUGCUAUUAUUAUUAUGUAGUGAUUAUUUAGGAUAGUGUGAAAUAGGACAGGAAGUAUGGCCCCUGCUCCAAGGAACUCACAGUCUAAGGACAGACAAGUAGAAAGAGUUUAGGGGAACGGGAACAAUAAUAGGCAAUUUAUAUACAAAUCAACUUGAUUCACUGCAAGCAGCAUGGCAAAGGUGGAUCUUUAAGACAAACAAAUGUGGACAGGGUACAGGUCUUGGGAAUGAACUGAGAGAGGUUUGUACCCUACACAAGGGAUCACAUGGAAGAAGGGGUUUUGAGAGGUGACUGUGUCAAGAAGUUGACAGAGGGGCAGGCAAGAUUGUGGAGACUGGUGGAGUCAAGGGGACAUGGGCAACACAAACUGGUCAAGGGAAGAUAAAAAUAGGGGGAAGAGUUAUAUGAGGCUUUGAAAGUGACAUUUCCCAAUAAGAAUGCUUCUUAUCCAAGUGUCUAUGCUGCUCUCAGCAGAUAUUGUCUCUUUCUCUCUGUUUGUACAACAUCCAGCACAAGGACUGAGGCCUUUGAGCCUGCAUUAUUAUAAAUGUUUAACAAUAAUAUAGGAGCUAUCCCACAGGUGUAAAAAGCCUAUUGGCUUAAUAGGAUUCCAGCACAAUUAAUCAGUGUGUUUUCCCCCUUGACACAAUUUGUUAAGAGUUCCAUUGAUCCCAUGCAUACUAACCCUAAUUAAAGGGUGACACAAUAUUCUAGUCAUUUCUUAUUCCCACAAGGACUUGGAUAACCUUAAUGCAUUUCUGGUCCUUCCUGGACAGAUAAGGCCCUCUGUACCAUCUUCUCUCCCCACCCACACCCAGUUAUACAUUUCUUCCUUACAUGGGGAAUAAUAAUGGUGGUGGGCUCAACUUAUUUCUUGGAGCGAGAGAAAUCACUAUCUUCUAUGGUUAUAAUUCAGCUACAUGGCAGAAUGGUGUCUUCAAAACACUGUUUUCUAUUACAGACAAUUGUUUUAUCAUCCACACUGGCAAUAAAUACUGUAUUCCAACACAGAUACCCCUGACAGGAGCAGAGAACUAAGGGCUUCGUGUCACAUGGAUGGGACCAGUGGGUGUUUAUCACAGUUUGGUGCACUAACCCCAGUGGUAGAUCUCUAAUUCCACCCCAGUAAAAAUAAAAACUCAAAGCCAAUUUAAGUGAGACAGUUUCUACGGUUUCCACAGCAGAUUGUCAGCCUGUUCCUCUGAGUCAGAUUCUGAUCUUUUACCCCACUGUUUGUAUGUGGCAUAACUCCACUGAAACCAAGCUCCACACCGGUGUUCAAACUACUUCCCAAUGCCUUUUAACAGCAUAAAUAUGUUUGCCAUAACAGACAAUUACUUAUAAAAAUAAAUGCCAAAUUAGCAUCAGUGCCAUUAUUACAAAUAUAAGACCUUGAACAGAGUCGAUAUGCUCAGUAUUUCUAUUGCCUUUGAAUUCCAAUAUAGCCUGUUAAGCACGAUUACAGUUUACUUUCAUUACUGUGUACAUUGUGGGACCGAUUCUCCACUGCCAUACACCGCAAGUCGUUGUUUACACCAGUUCAAAAUAAGUAUGUGUGGGUGCAAAACGCUACCAAACAGAAUGGUAACAUUUUACACCUAUGUUGCUCUCACUUGCCACAGGAAUAUGGCCCUGACCCUGAGGCUGAUUAUGAAUGAGUGUUCCUGCUCUAAGAGUCCCACUGAUUUUUGCCUGCAUACUAUCAAUUGCAGAAUUGAGCCCUAAAUGGACUCCUGCAGGUAAAAGACAGUGGAGAAGCAGGCCCAAAAUGUUUGUUUGUUACAUAGCAGCAUAAGGAGUAUGCCUUGUUUAAGGCAGCAGCAUCAUAUUAUCCAAUAUAUUAAGCAUAAAUAAACUAGUUCAAAUUUUGAAAAUUAGAUGCUAGUAAAGACAUCUAUUUCUCUUCCACCCAAUACAAUAGACAAAAUCCUGAUUGCAGAUUUCUAAUCUGAUUUGCACCAUAGAAAUUACAUUGCAGAGAGAAUCUGGCUAUGUACUACAGAUUUACUUCCCUGAAAACAAGAGAGUUUGAAUAUACAUUUCAGUGUGUUAAAUCUAGACUCCAUUUUUACUGAUUUUGGAAACAAAUGGUGCUGUAAACACGAAUAGUACUCAGCUCAGCGUGGUCUAAGUGAACUAAAUGCUCUAACUUACUGUUUGCAUUUUCUCUUUUUAUGACAACAAAUAGAAAUCAACUAAUCAAAGCCAGUAUUUUAUGAUGCAGCCAUUGCAAUCCACUUUUAAUUGGACUAACUGUCAUUGCAAUAAAAUGAUUCCCAGAAAUCAUCAGGGGUUAAAUAUAAAUAGUUUUCUUUUAAAGCUAUGAACAUAAAAUAAAGGUGUUAAAGGCAAGGGACACUUCAGAGGUUAAUUUCAAAAGCCCCCCUCUCCACUUCUCAUUGAACUGGCCUUAUAUUGCCUCCUAAUUUUUUGUUUGUUUGACAGCAACACUGUCUUUUAUUUAAUUGUGUCAGAACGGAUUAACCAAGAAUAGAAACAUACACUGUGUUCAUGGGUGUAGUUUGUUAGUAUUAAUCCGUUCACUAUAUUGACAAGAAUAAAAACCAUGGCCAACAUUUUCAAGUGAAAAGUAAUUUUAGUGCCCCAACUUUAAUGACUUAAAGAAGCCUGGUUUUCAAAGUGCUCAGCAGCACUGUUCUGAAAAAUCAGGUCUCUUUAAGAUAACUUUUUGUGCCUACCUUGAAGUAUUUAUCAUACUCUGGUAUUGACCACCCUAUUAAUAAUGAAUAAGGGCCCAAUCUUGCCCUAUUGAUGUCAGUGAGAUUUCUGGCAUGAAUUUCAUGGGAGCAGGACUGGGCUUUUAGAGAGGCUACUUCAUAGCAAGAGAAGCCAUGGUCCAAAUCUGACUCUCACUAGUCCAUCUCCUCAGCUGAGGUACAUUGGCAUAGUUCCGUGGACUUCAGUUGACAUCAGCUGAGGAUCUGGUGCAUUACAUAAGAAAGGGACUCUCCCUCAUGCUGCAAACUAUUUUACAGUUUCAGGACUCAUCUACGUUCUCUGCUUAUGUUCUGUGAUGAAAGCAAAUGUCAUGUUAGUAAGGAAUCAAACAAAAAAGGGGACAGCGUGUGACCCAUGGGGACAUCUCACCCUAGAUAAAUGGAAUAAAUUUGCUGGAAAUACAGGGCUGUCAUCCAAGACCUUUCAUUCUCAAAAUAAAAUUACAUGACACAUUUGCAGGAGAUCUGACACAGCUCUAUCUCACACCAGUCACAACUUCACAUUUACUACGUGCCAUAAAAAAUAGCACAUUUGAGUCAUAUGAGCAUGUCAUGUCACAUAAGUGUAACGAUGAGCUGAAAGUGAUAUUUACCACCAUACAUAUGAAUAACAUCCUGCCUCCCUUCCCACUCCCCCUCUUCGCUUCUCAUGAACAAGAAUAUUAACUAGAAGUUAUCCAGGGUGAGCAAUUUGCAGAUUAUUUUUGAAGGAAAAACAACCAAAACAGCAGCUAUUAAGCACAGACGAAGCUAAACAUAGUUAAGUGAAGAGAGGCUUUGCAUGAAAUGUUACCUUUUUUCAAAAUAUUACACAAACUCAAAAUUUUCAUCUGAAUUCUAGUUUAGGUUUUGGGCCACUUCUCCUAAACAAAUCCUGCUUUUUUCAAGAUUUCAAGGGUCUCUCUCUCUCUCUCUCAACAGUCUUUAAUACAUAUGCCUCUGAAUUUCUCUCAGCUUCUUCCAGCUCCCAGUUUUCCUUAAUGAAUAUAGAGCAGGUGUUUGGAAUCUCAAUGCACUUAAAAACUAAUUAUUUUGCAGCGCAUUUAAUGCUCAUGAAAGGUGCUUGACUGAAAAUAGGGCCUGAAGCCCACUGUUUAUCCACAGAACAGACAGCAUGAGAAGAUUUGCCUAUGCUGCCCAGCCCUGCCAGUUUCCCUCCCUGGCUUGAGGCCUGCGCCAAUGGCCACUGAAGACAAUGGGAGUCUUUCCAUUAAUGUCAUUGGACGUUGGAUCGGCCCUUGGAGAUACCACCUCUAGGUGAGAGAAAUUUGGUCCCUGUGGCUGUUCAGUGCCAGCUAAUGUGAGCAUUGGUGGUUUUGUGAUGUGACACCGUUCCAUGAAGAACGGUGGUGCUGUAUACAAAGUCAUCUCAUAUCAGAUGGUGAUAAUGUUGACUCAGACUAUGGCUCUAUAUCCCAUUAUAAAGAACCAGUUUUUUGAUAUGCACUUCACAUCCAAGCAUAUAGGAUUCAAACUAAGUAGGUAUGUUUGUUUGUUUUUUUUAAUUAUAGAAAGAAAAAGUUAAACAGAAAGAGGAUGGAAAAAGAGUAACUGGAAGAGAGUUGAAAACAGAAACAAUUUUGUAUUACACAUGUCCAUCAGCCUCUUUUUAGGGCUCAUUUCCUUUUUGUACCUAAGGACAUAUGUGUUGUUAUUGGAUCUGUAACAGUAGUGCCCAAAUAUUAAAGAUUUUCCUUACAGAAGCUGAAUGACCUACCUCAAUUUUGCUUACAAAGUGGAUGUUGCUUGGAAAUACAGCAUCU